rnacentral:rRNA from 1 species
UACGGAGGGUGCAAGCGUUAUCCGGAUUCACUGGGUUUAAAGGGUGCGUAGGAGGGCAGGUAAGUCAGUGGUGAAAUCUCCAAGCUUAACUUGGAAACUGCCGUUGAUACUAUCUGUCUUGAAUACCGUGGAGGUGAGCGGAAUAUGUCAUGUAGCGGUGAAAUGCUUAGAUAUGACAUAGAACACCGAUUGCGAAGGCAGCUCGCUACACGAAUAUUGACUCUGAGGCACGAAAGCGUGGGGAUCAAACAGG